GCACUGAUGAGGAGUCCCACAACAGAAUGAAACGGCCGUUCAGUGC
rnacentral:hammerhead_ribozyme from 1 species